rnacentral:rRNA from 1 species
UGGGGAAUCUUGGACAAUGGGGGCAACCCUGAUCCAGCCAUGCCGCGUGAGUGAUGAAGGCCUUAGGGUCGUAAAGCUCUUUCGCCUGUGAAGAUAAUGACGGUAGCAGGUAAAGAAACCCCGGCUAACUCCGUGCCAGCAGCCGCGGUAAUACGGAGGGGGUUAGCGUUGUUCGGAAUUACUGGGCGUAAAGCGCACGUAGGCGGACCAGAAAGUUGGGGGAUGAAAUCCCGGGGGCUCAACCCCGGAACUGCCUCCAAAACUAUUGGUCUAGAGUUCGAGAGAGGUGAGUGGAAUUCCAAGUGUAGAGGUGAAAUUCGUAGAUAUUUGGAGGAACACCAGUGGCGAAGGCGGCUCACUGGCUCGAUACUGACGCUGAGGUGCGAAAGUGUGGGGAGCAAACAGGAUUAGAUACCCUGGGUAGUCCACACCGUAAAACGAUGAAUGCCAGUCGUCGGGUAGCAUGCUAUUCGGUGACACACCUAA